CCUACGGGGUGCAGCAGGCGCGCAAACUUUACAAUGCGAGCAAUCGUGAUAAGGAAACCCUGAGUGCCUGUCGAUGCAGGCUGUUCAUAUAUCUAAAUCAUAUGUGAAGAAAGGGCAGGGCAAGACCGGUGCCAGCCGCCGCGGUAAUACCGGCUGCUCGAGUGAUGGCCACUAUUACUGGGUUUAAAGCGUCCGUAGCUUGACUGUUAGGUCCCUUGGGAAAUCUUCACGCUUAACGUGAAGGCGUCUAAGAGAUACCGGCAGUCUUGGAACUGGGAGAGGUAAACCGUACUUCGGGGGUAGGAGUGAAAUCUUGUAAUCCUCGAGGGACGACCUAUGGCGAAGGCAGUUUACCAGAACAGCUUCGACAGUGAGGGACGAAAGCUGGGGGAGCAAACGGGAUUAGAUACCCCGGUAGUCCCAGCCGUAAACAAUGUGCGUUAGGUGUGUCGGUAACCACGUGUUACUGAUGCGCCGAAGAGAAAUCGUGAAACGCACCACCUGGGAAGUACGGUCGCAAGGCUGAAACUUAAAGGAAUUGGCGGGGGAGCACCACAACAGGUGGAGCCUGCGGUUUAAUUGGAUUCAACGCCGGACAUCUCACCGGAUAAGACAGCUGAAUGAUUGUCAAUCUGAAGGUUUUACAUGACUAGCUGAGAGGAGGUGCAUGGCCGUCGUCAGUUCGUACUGUGAAGCAUCCUGUUAAGUCAGGCAACGAGCGAGACCCACGCCGACAAUUGCCAGCAGCAUCUCCGGAUGGCUGGGGACAUUGUCGGGACCGCCUCUGCUAAAGAGGAGGAAGGAAUGGGCAACGGUAGGUCAGCAUGCCCCGAAUUAUCCGGGCUACACGCGGGCUACAAUGGACGGGACAAUGGGUAACAACACCGAAAGGUGCAGUCAAUCUCCUAACCCCGUCCUUAGUUAGGAUUGCGGGUUGCAACUCACCCGCAUGAAUCUGGAAUCUGUAGUAAUCGCGUUUCACUAUAGCGCGGUGAAUACGUCCCUGCUCCUUGCACACACCGCCCGUC
rnacentral:rRNA from 1 species